rnacentral:rRNA from 1 species
AUUGAACGCUGGCGGCAGGCCUAACACAUGCAAGUCGAGCGGAGCGGCGGACGGGUGAGUAAUGCCUAGGAAUCUGCCUGGUAGUGGGGGAUAACGUCCGGAUACGGGCGCUAAUACCGCAUACUAUCAGAUGAGCCUAGGUUGGAUUAGCUAGUUGGUGGGGUAAUGGCCUACCAAGGCGACGAUCCGUACCUGGUCUGAGAGGAUGAUCAGUCACACUGGAACUGAGACACGGUCCAGACUCCUACGGGAGGCAGCAGUGGGGAAUAUUGCACAAUGGGCGAAAGCCUGAUGCAGCCAUGCCGCGUGUGUGAAGAAGGCCUUCGGGUUGUAAAGCACUUUUAGCGGGGAGGCGUUACCCGCAGAAGAAGCACCGGCUAACUCCGUGCCAGCAGCCGCGGUAAUUC